AUGAUCCUGGAGGCAAAAGGAGGUUGUCGCAGCCAGAGAGAUCAUCUCGGAGACACCAUCAGGGUCGUGAUGGAUGUCUGGUUGCGCGUUAAUGGAGGCGCGGCUCGAGGUGAGUAUGUGAUUUGUGCGGUGGUUCAUCGGAUCUACAAGGAGGCUGGGCAAGCGAAGGUUGUGUAUUGUUGGGAUGUUGUAAGUGAUUUGAAUGGAGGCAGAUAG